GACGAACGCUGGCGGCGUGCUUAACACAUGCAAGUCGAACGGAAAGGCCCCUUUGGUGGUCCUCGAGCGGCGAACGGGUGCGUAACACGUGAGUAACCUGCCCUUGCCUUCGGGACAACGUCAGCAAACUGGGGCUAAUACUGGAUAGGAAUCCUUUCUGCAUGGUGGGGGUUGGAUAGCUUCGGCGGUUUUGGAUGGACUCGCGGCUUAUCAGCUUGCUGGUGGGGUGGUGGCUUACCAAGGCUUUGACGGGUAGCCGGCCUGAGAGGGCGACCGGCCACAUUGGGACCGAGAGACGGCACAGACUGCUACGGGAGGCAGCAGUGGGGAAUAUUGCACGAUGGGCGGAAGCCUGAUGAAGCAACGCCGCGUGCGGGAUGACGGCCUUCGGGUUGUAAACCGCAUUCGGCAGGGGCGAAGCUUGUGGUGACGGUACCUGCAGAAGAAGCACCGGCUAACUACGUG
rnacentral:rRNA from 1 species